rnacentral:tRNA from 1 species
GCCUUGGUAGCUCCGAUGGUAGAGCAACGGACUGAAAAUCCGUGUGUCACUGGUUCGAUUCCCGUCCAAGGCA